UUAAAUUGAAGAGUUUGAUCAUGGCUCAGAUUGAACGCUGGCGGCAGGCCUAACACAUGCAAGUCGAACGGUAACAGGAAGCAACUUGCUG
rnacentral:rRNA from 2 species